AGGACCCAGGGUACACAGGGUGGGUGGCUGUUCUCCAGAAAUGUCAGUUUCUGGGCAGGGCUUAGGUGUCUGCCGUCCCUAGUCCCACCCCGGCCUUGCAUUCCAGCUCAGCGGGUGGAAGGUAUAAAUUUCAGCUGCUCUCAGCCCUGCUGUGUUUUUCCAAAGCCUUCCAACAGCAACAUGAAGUUGGCAGCCUUCCUCCUCCUUGUGAUCCUCAUCAUCUUCAGCCUAGAAUUACAAGAGCUUCAGGCUGCAGUGAGACCGUUGCAGCUUUUGGGUACCUGCGUCGAGCUCUGCACAGGUGACUGGGACUGCAACCCCGGAGACCACUGUGUCAGCAAUGGGUGUGGCCAUGAGUGUGCUGCAGAGUAAGGACAGAUGAAGAGUUAUCUUAAGGAUCAUCUUUCUCUAAGAUCGUCAUCCCUUUCUGGAGUUCCUAUCUUCCAAGAUGUGACUGUCUGGAGUUCCUUGACUAGGAAGAUGGAUGAAAACAGCAAGCCUGUGGAUGGAGACUAUAGGGGAUAUGGGAGGCAGGGAAGAGGGGUUGUUUCUUUUAAUAAAGCAUCAUUGUUA
rnacentral:lncRNA from 1 species